rnacentral:rRNA from 1 species
UACGUAGGCAGCGAGCGUUGUUCGGAGUUACUGGGCGUAAAGGGUGUGUAGGCGGUUGUUUAAGUUUGAUGUGAAAUGCCCCGGCUCACCCGGGGAGCGGCAUCCCAUACUGCUUGGCUUGAGUACGGGAGAGGAUGUGGGAAUUCCUGGUGUAGCGGUGAAAUGCGUAGAUAUCAGGAGGAACACCGGUGGCGAAGGCGCACAUCUGGCCCGAUACUGACGCUGAGGCUCGAAAGCGUGGGGAGCAAACAGG